UACGUAGGGGGCAAGCGUUGUCCGGAUUUAUUGGGCGUAAAGAGCGUGUAGGCGGUUCGGUAAGUCUGUCGUGAAAUCCUGAGGCUCAACCUCGGGCGUGCGAUGGAUACUGCCGGGCUAGAGGGUGGUAGAGGCGAGUGGAAUUCCCGGUGUGGCGGUGAAAUGCGCAGAUAUCGGGAGGAACACCAGUGGCGAAGGCGACUACCUGGCCUGUUCUUGACGCUGAGGCGCGAAAGCUAGGGGAGCAAACGGG
rnacentral:rRNA from 1 species